rnacentral:rRNA from 1 species
UACGGGGGGGGCAAGCGUUAAUCGGAAUUACUGGGCGUAAAGGGCGCGUAGGCGGCCCGCUAAGUCGAACGUGAAAUCCCCGGGCUCAACCCGGGAACUGCGUCCGAUACUGGCAGGCUUGAAUCCGGGAGAGGGAUGCGGAAUUCCAGGUGUAGCGGUGAAAUGCGUAGAUAUCUGGAGGAACACCGGUGGCGAAGGCGGCAUCCUGGACCGGUAUUGACGCUGAGGCGCGAAAGCCAGGGGAGCAAACGGG